rnacentral:rRNA from 1 species
UACGAAGGGGGCUAGCGUUGCUCGGAAUUACUGGGCGUAAAGCGUGCGUAGGCGGCUAUGUAAGACAGAUGUGAAAUCCCUGGGCUUAACCUAGGAACUGCAUUUGUGACUGCAUUGCUAGAGUGUGGUAGAGGGAGAUGGAAUUCCGCAUGUAGCAGUGAAAUGCGUAGAUAUGCGGAGGAACACCAAUGGCGAAGGCAAUCUCCUGGACCUGCACUGACGCUCAUGCACGAAAGCGUGGGGAGCAAACAGG